AGUCACUGACAUUAGAUACCCCCUGUAGUCCAGGGUGUAAACGCUGCAGACUUGGUGUUGGAGGCCCUUUGGGGGCAUUCAGUGCCGGAGAGAAGUUGUUAAGUCUGCUACUUGGGGAGUACGUCCGCAAGGAUGAAACUUAAAGGAAUUGGCGGGGGAGCACCGCAACGGGAGGAGCGUGCGGUUUAAUUGGAUUCAACACCGUAAAACUCACCAGGGAAGACUGUUACAUGAAGGCCGAGAUGAAGACUCUGCUAGAUUUUCAG
rnacentral:rRNA from 1 species